rnacentral:rRNA from 1 species
ACUCCUACGGGAGGCAGCAGUGGGGAAUAUUGCGCAAUGGGCGAAAGCCUGACGCAGCCAUGCCGCGUGUGUGAAGAAGGCCUUAGGGUUGUAAAGCACUUUCAAUUGGGAAGAAAAGCUAAACGUUAAUAGCGUUUAGCCCUGACAUUACCUUUAGAAGAAGCACCGGCUAACUCCGUGCCAGCAGCCGCGGUAAUACGGAGGGUGCGAGCGUUAAUCGGAAUUACUGGGCGUAAAGCGCGCGUAGGCGGUUUGUUAAGUCAGCUGUGAAAGCCCGGCUCAACCUGGGAACUGCAGUUGAUACUGGCCGACUAGAGUAUGAAAGAGGGAGGUAGAAUUCCAUGUGUAGCGGUGAAAUGCGUAGAUAUAUGGAGGAAUACCAGUGGCGAAGGCGGCCUCCUGGUUCAAUACUGACGCUGAGGUGCGAAAGCGUGGGGAUCAAACAGGAUUAGAUACCCUUGUAGGCUCUG